UCGGGCUUAAACACAGCCGCCCGGCGUCGCACCUCGACAAGACGGGUCGUCCAAGCGCUGA
rnacentral:ncRNA from 1 species